AAAGAACUGAGGCCAAUAAAACCAAUCAUCCUGUUGAGACUAAGAGAACUGUGGAUUAGAAUUAUGGGCUGCAUUUGCUCGAAAGGAACUCGAGCAAAUGACUAUGUACAAAACAAUGCCCCAAGCAAAGAAACAACUAAAUCUAGCAAACGUUCAGUCUCUUCUUCCAAAAGAAAUGAAGCUGUAGUAGAGGUGGAAGGCAGUGGCAAUGAUGCCACUGCAAGUCUUAUAUCAAACCAACCCAGAAAUAACAAUGGGGGCUCUACCUCUGUAUCUGAUGAGGAUAAGAAAAAAUCUACAAAGGCUAGUGAUCAGAAGGUAUCUAGGCUAUUGAGUUUGACCAAUGGGGAAAAAGGAGCACAAGUUAUUGCUGGUUGGCCUUCUUGGUUGACUGCUGUGGCUGGAGAAGCCAUCAAUGGAUGGGUUCCUCGAAGGGCAGAUUCAUUUGAGAAGUUGGAUAAGGUUGGACAAGGAACUUACAGCAGUGUGUACAAAGCCCGUGAUCUUGACACAAACAAACUUGUCGCAUUGAAGAAGGUCCGGUUUGCUAACAUGGAUCCAGAAAGUGUACGUUUUAUGGCAAGGGAAAUCAUAAUUUUGCGUAGGCUUGAUCACCCGAAUGUCAUGAAACUUGAAGGAAUAAUUACUUCGAAGAUGUCUGGUAGUUUAUACCUUAUAUUUGAAUAUAUGGAGCAUGAUCUUGCUGGGCUUUUGGCAACACCAGGGGUUAAGUUCACUGAAGCACAGGUUAAAUGUUAUAUGCAACAACUGCUUCGUGGACUUGAACACUGCCACAGUCGUGGAGUUUUGCACCGUGACAUCAAAGGGUCAAAUCUUCUGAUUGAUCUAAAUGGCAAUCUCAAGAUUGGUGAUUUUGGGUUGGCAACCUUUUUCUCUCCUCAGAAGCAGCCUCUGACAAGUCGUGUAGUAACAUUAUGGUACAGGCCCCCUGAGCUCUUGCUUGGUGCCACAAGUUAUGGUGUUGCUGUGGAUCUUUGGAGCACUGGUUGCAUUUUAGCAGAAUUGUUUGCUGGGAAGCCUAUUAUGCCUGGAAGAACAGAGGUGGAGCAACUGCAUAAAAUCUUCAAACUCUGUGGCUCACCAUCUGAAGAGUAUUGGAAGAGAUCAAAACUACGGCAUGCAACCAUUUUUAAACCUCAACAACCUUAUAAGCGUUGUGUUGCUGAUACAUACAAGGACUUUCCUUCAACUGCUUUGGCCCUUUUGGAUGUCCUCCUCGCAAUAGAACCCGAGGACCGUGGAACAGCUUCUUCAGCACUUGGUAGUGAGUUCUUCACAACAAACCCCCUUCCCUGUGAUCCUUCAAGUUUGCCCAAG
rnacentral:misc_RNA from 1 species